GACGAACGCUGGCGGCGUGCUUAACACAUGCAAGUCGAACGGAAAGGCCUGUCCUUCCUUGUGUUGGACGGGUACUCGAGUGGCGAACGGGUGAGUAACACGUGAGUGAUCUGCCCCCAACUUGGGUAUAAGCCUGGGAAACUGGGUCUAAUUCCCGAUAGGACUGCAGGGUGGUGCCUGUGGUGGAAAACGAUUUUCUAGUGGUUGGGGAUGAGCUCGCGGCCUAUCAGCUUGUUGGUGGGGUAAUGGCCUACCAAGGCGGCGACGGGUAGCCGGCCUGGGAGGGUGGACGGGCACAGUGGGACUGAGAUACGGCCCAGACGCCUACGGGAGGCAGCAGUGGGGAAUAUGGCACAAUGGGCGGAAGCCUGAUGCAGCGACGCCGCGUGGGGGAUGACGGCCUUCGGGUUGUAAACUCCUUUCGACCGAGAGGAAGCCGCCUGGUUGGAAGGGUGGUGACGGUAGUGGUAGAAGAAGCACCGGCUAACUACGUG
rnacentral:rRNA from 1 species